UACGAAGGGGGGCUAGCGUUGCUCGGAUUGACUGGGCGUAAAGGGCGCGUAGGCGGUUCGUACAGUCAGACGUGAAAUUCCUGGGCUCAACCUGGGGGCUGCGUUUGAUACGUGCGGACUUGAGUGCGGAAGAGGGUCGUGGAAUUCCCAGUGUAGAGGUGAAAUUCGUAGAUAUUGGGAAGAACACCGGUGGCGAAGGCGGCGACCUGGUCCGAUACUGGACGCUGAGGCGCGAAA
rnacentral:rRNA from 1 species